UGAUUUAAAUGGUGGGACGGUUGAUCUCAGU
rnacentral:piRNA from 1 species